rnacentral:rRNA from 1 species
AUUGAACGCUGGCGGCAGGCCUAACACAUGCAAGUCGCACGAGUGGCGGAAGGGUGAGUAAUGUCUGGGAAACUUCCCGAUGGAGGGGGAUAACUACUGGAAACGGUAGCUAAUACCGCAUACCAUCGGAUGUGCCCAGAUGGGAUUAGCGUGUAGGUGAGGUAACGGCUCACCUAGGCGACGAUCCCUAGCUGGUCUGAGAGGAUGACCAGCCAUACGGGAACGGAGACACGGUCAAGACUCCUACGGGAGGCAGAAGGGGGUAAGAUUGAACAAGGGGCGCAAGCCGGAUGCAGCCAGGCCGCGGGUAUGAAGAAGGCCGUAGGGUUGUAAAGUACAUUCAGCGGGGAGGCGAUACCCGCAGAAGAAGAACCGGCGAACUCCGUGCGAGCAGCCGCGGUAUG